rnacentral:rRNA from 1 species
GAUGAACGCUGGCGGCGUGCCUAAUACAUGCAAGUCGGGCGAACAGAUGAGGAGCUUGCUCCUCUGACGUUAGCGGCGGACGGGUGAGUAACACGUGGAUAACCUACCUAUAAGACUGGGAUAACUUCGGGAAACCGGAGCUAAUACCGGAUAAUAUAUUGAACCGCAUGGUUCAAUAGUGAAAGACGGUUUUGCUGUCACUUAUAGAUGGAUCCGCGCCGCAUUAGCCAGUUGGUAAGGUAACGGCUUACCAAGGCAACGAUGCGUAGCCGACCUGAGAGGGUGAUCGGCCACACUGGAACUGAGACACGGUCCAGACUCCUACGGGAGGCAGCAGUAGGGAAUCUUCCGCAAUGGGCGAAAGCCUGACGGAGCAACGCCGCGUGAGUGAUGAAGGUCUUCGGAUCGUAAAACUCUGUUAUUAGGGAAGAACAAAUGUGUAAGUAACUAUGCACGUCUUGACGGUACCUAAUCAGAAAGCCACGGCUAACUACGUG